rnacentral:rRNA from 1 species
AUGUCCAAACUGGUGGGUUUGCAAUUUCAGAUCAUAUACAAGAAGGGAGUGGAGAAUGGCGCAGCAGAUUCUUUAUCCAGAAUGGGACAUUUGUUUGUAGUGCAGGCCAUAUCCACAUUGCAGCAUGAUUGGGUUCAGGAAGUAUCCACUUCCUAUGUGACAACUCAGUUAUUGCAGGAGCUUGCAAUUCAGUCUCCAAAUGACAACUUCACUGGCAAAAUCCCAGAGAGUAUCUACUUGUGCAACAAACUGACUGUGUUACAGCUAUCUUUCAACAAGUUACAUGGCCAGCUCUCGUCCAGAGCGCGUCACCUGAAGUCACUAACCAUCCUAUCACUUGCUGGCAACUAUUUCAUAAAUAUUAAGAGUGCACUUCAGAUCCUAGAUGGUUCUAGUAAUCUCACCACCUUGCUUAUUGGGAGCAACUUCAGAAAUGAGGAAAUACCAGGGGAUGAAGCAAUUGAUGGUUUUGAGAAUCUUAAGGUUCUCGGCAUGGAAGAUUGCCAGUUGUUUGGGAAGAUCCCUCUAUGGAUAUCAAAUCUCAGAGAUCUGGAGAUGUUAUUCUUGUUUAAUAAUGAGCUAACCGGAUCUAUUCCAGCUGGAAUCAGCACCUUAAACUUCCUAUUCUACAUAGACCUAUCAAACAACGGCCUCAGGGGGAGAUCCCAGCAGGCUUCAUGGAGAUGCCAGUGCUAA